UUAGCAUUUAGCAAGAUUCAGUUACAAACCUUUAUGGCAUAUUUCAGUAAUACAAAACGUACAUUCGUGUUGGAACAGUACUAAAGACAAAAAUAUGACAGUAACAUGUUAGCAAUAGUACCCCUGAUUUAUAUAAUGUGUGUCAGGAACCUGCUGUGACGAUAUUGUUUUGAGAUUUGUAAUGACAUCUUUAUUUAUAACUCAAUAUUUGUAGCUGAUGGCCGUACGGACAGUCCAGGGUUCUGUGCUCAAUACUGUACUUACAGCGCCAGGGGAAAUGAGACAACAGACAUCCGAUCCGUUGUCACUAUCGACAAGAGAGAGAUGCAGAGGAGCUCUGUUGUCGUGGAGAAGGAAGGGUUCAUGAGGAGUUUUCAGAAGCUCUGCAAGGGGACGACACUGUCUGAAGUGUGCACGGACGCACAGUUACAGAUAUCAGCUCUCUUCAAUCCGGACAGCUUGAUAUGAGACAUGGAUCCAAAAACCCUUGGCAAAAAGAUACACGCAGCAAGUGUGGCUGGUCAGUGAAGGGGUUGUGCUUUCCUCCUGAGGUGGAAUAAAGACAACUGCAACAAUUUCUGGUAUUGCUGCAAGAUGACGUAAACUACAAUGACUUCUUUGAGAGCACGAAUGGUCCCUUGGAGGAGGAUGAAGACAGGAAGUGGAUCGAGAAGGGUUCAGUGGCUCAUUUAGCUCUGUCAAAUGAAAUUGACCUCAAUGAGCGCUGGCUGAAGGAGGUCCGCAAGUAGCUUCACUGUGGUCAACUGCUGAGCUGGAGUCAUUCCAUAACCACAUCCUCAUGUAUGCCAGCCAACGCAUUUCCUUCAGCCCUCCAGUCUGUGAAGACUAGACCACAACCAUCAUGUCCACAGAUCAGCCAAGAGAAGACCUGAUGGCUCCGUAGAGUUUGUCAAAUGAAGACCAUGUGAAGUGUCUACUAUCAGCAACAAUUCAUAUUUCUCAUUUGCCACCUGUUGGUUAUUUAUUUGUAUUGUUAUUUAACAUUCUUUGUAUGUAUUACCUGUUCACAGGAAAAAUAAAUUCUUUCAACACA